UGGGAAGAAUGGGUAAUUGCCUCGACAAAAAUGUCGGGGAGGAAAGUCCGAACUCCGCAGAGCAGGAAAGUCGCUAACGGCGACUCCGGGCAACUGGGGGAAAGUGCCACAGAAAAUAUACCGCCACGAUAUCGUGGUAAGGGUGAAAUGGUGCGGUAAGAGCGCACCGCUUUGUCUGUGAAGAUGAGGGCAUGGUAAACCCUUUUCGGAGCAAGAUCAAGCAUGGAUGAAAUAGUUGCUCGCUAUGCUUUCCCUGCCGUUUGGCAGAGAAAAUAAGUCCGGGUGGAUCGCAUGAGCAGGUCUGUAAAGAUCUGACAAGAUAAAUAAUUGCCAAUUACAGAAUUCGGCUUACAGUUCUUCCCAGCAU
rnacentral:RNase_P_RNA from 1 species